GACGAACGCUGGCGGCGUGCUUAACACAUGCAAGUCGAACGGAAAGGCCCUGCUUUUGUGGGGUGCUCGAGUGGCGAACGGGUGAGUAACACGUGAGUAACCUGCCCUUGACUUUGGGAUAACUUCAGGAAACUGGGGCUAAUACCGGAUAGGAGCUCCUGCUGCAUGGUGGGGGUUGGAAAGUUUCGGCGGUUGGGGAUGGACUCGCGGCUUAUCAGCUUGUUGGUGGGGUAGUGGCUUACCAAGGCUUUGACGGGUAGCCGGCCUGAGAGGGUGACCGGCCACAUGGGGACUGAGAUACGGCCGAGACUCAUACGGGGGGCAACAGGGGGAAAUAGUGCACAGUGGGCGGGAGCGAGAUGCAGCAGCGCCGCGUGCGGGAUGACGGCCUGCGGGGUAUAAACCGCUUGCGCCGGAGACGAAGCGUGAGUGACGGUAAUGGGUAAAGAAGCACCGGCUAACUACGUG
rnacentral:rRNA from 1 species